rnacentral:rRNA from 1 species
AGAGUGAACGCUGGCGGUAGGCCUAACACAUGCAAGUCGAACGGCAGCGCAGUGGUAGCAAUACCAUGGGUGGCGAGUGGCGGACGGGUGAGGAAUACAUCGGAAUCUACCUUUUCGUGGGGGAUAACGUAGGGAAACUUACGCUAAUACCGCAUACGCCCUUCGGGGGAAAGCCGGGGAUCGCAAGACCUGGCGCGGAUAGAUGAGCCGAUGUCGGAUUAGCUAGUUGGUGAGGUAAUGGCUCACCAAGGCGACGAUCCGUAGCUGGUCUGAGAGGAUGAUCAGCCACACUGGAACUGAAGACACGGUCCAGACCUCCGUAACGGGAGCAG